UACGGAGGGGGCUAGCGUUGUUCGGAAUUACUGGGCGUAAAGCGCGCGUAGGCGGCUUUGUAAGUCAGAGGUGAAAGCCCGGAGCUCAACUUCGGAAUAGCCUUUGAGACUGCAUCGCUUGAAUCCGGGAGAGGUGAGUGGAAUUCCGAGUGUAGAGGUGAAAUUCGUAGAUAUUCGGAAGAACACCAGUGGCGAAGGCGGCUCACUGGACCGGUAUUGACGCUGAGGUGCGAAAGCGUGGGGAGCGAACAGG
rnacentral:rRNA from 1 species